rnacentral:rRNA from 1 species
UUCCGGUUGAUCCUGCCGGAGGUCAUUGCUAUUGGAGUCCGAUUUAGCCAUGCUAGUUGCACGAGUUUAGACUCGUAGCAGAUAGCUCAGUAACACGUGGCCAAACUGCCCUAUAGACGGCGAUAACCUCGGGAAACUGAGGCUAAUAGCCGAUACCGUUCACCACCUGGAGUGGUGUGAACGCGAAACGUUCAGGCGCUAUAGGAUGUGGCUGCGGCCGAUUAGGUAGACGGUGGGGUAACGGCCCACCGUGCCCAUAAUCGGUACGGGUUGUGAGAGCAAGAGCCCGGAGACGGUAUCUGAGACAAGAUACCGGGCCCUACGGGGCGCAGCAGGCGCGAAACCUUUACACUGCACGCGAGUGCGAUAAGGGGACUCCGAGUGCGAGGGCAUAUAGUCCUCGCUUUUCACCACCGUAAGGUGGUGGUGGAAUAAGUGCUGGGCAAGACCGGUGCCAGCCGCCGCGGUAAUACCGGCAGCACGAGUGAUGACCGCUAUUAUUGGGCCUAAAGCGUCCGUAGCUGGCCACGCAAGUCUAUCGGGAAAUCUGCGCGCUUAACGCGCAGGCGUCCGGUGGAAACUGCAUGGCUUGGGACCGGAAGACCAGAGGGGUACGUCCGGGGUAGGAGUGAAAUCCCGUAAUCCUGGACGGACCACCGGUGGCGAAAGCGCCUCUGGAAGACGGAUCCGACGGUGAGGGACGAAAGCUCGGGUCACGAACCGGAUUAGAUACCCGGGUAGUCCGAGCUGUAAACGAUGUCUGCUAGGUGUGGCACAGGCUACGAGCCUGUGCUGUGCCGUAGGGAAGCCGAGAAGCAGACCGCCUGGGAAGUACGUCCGCAAGGAUGAAACUUAAAGGAAUUGGCGGGGGAGCACUACAACCGGAGGAGCCUGCGGUUUAAUUGGAUUCAACGCCGG